ACCUGUCAUUGUUGUUUCACGCUCUCAUUGAAUCGAACCCUAGGUAUGGCUGGACCCGACGCAAGCUUUGUGGAUGAGAUCUGCCAGGGAGAUGAAACUGUUUCAAAAGGCGUAAGAAACCUAGCCAUCUUCUUUGAGACUCUCGGCGCCUCUUCUCCCGAUACAAGGAAACAGUUCAGUUCCAGGGCCCGGGCACCUAGUUCUUAAACCAGCAAUCGAAAAGGUUGCGGAGGAUCCACUGGUUCAGGUUUUGCCUUAGGCACCUAUACCUAUACUCCUGUCGACUUCAGGUCCAAGUUCAGAAGACCAGUGACUGGUGGAGAUGCUUCUAUGGACAAAGGAGUACCUUGCAAUGAGUGUUCUAAGGAGCACCCCCCCCUUAUUCUUAUUGCCCUUAUGCGCCUUGUCAUAUUUGUUAUAAGGUUCACCACCAUAGUUAUUGCCCUUCCUUCGACCAUAUCCCACAGGGUGCAACUUUUGAUCAUGGCUAUCAAAUAAUUUGUGGAUGUGGUAGUGAAUUUAAUGAGGAUAAAUGGGUUUGUACCUCUUGUGGUGGGAGCAGAGCAAUGCUAAAGGCCAAGUAUUGUAACAUUUGUAAAAGCGUGAAACAGCACCGCGCAUAUGAAUGCCCGAAGGACAAGGUUCUUGCUGCCAAGUAUAAAUUGGCCAGAGACAAGAGGCGUUCAGUUGUGCCGAAUAGGAUUCCAUAUCACAUUGCCUAUAUACCAGAAUCAUCAUCAGGAAAGAUCUAUGUUCCAACUCCUCCUCCUGGGUGGGUUUGUGGACACAUGAAAGAAGGCUCGUAGCUGCUGUCGAGAUAGACGAAUGUCAACCCGCUUUGUUUGAGCCACGAGCUCGUAGUUGCUGUCGUGAAAGACGAUUAUGAUUAGACUCGUCUCAGCCUUAACAGAGUCAAAUAGAUUUAUAUUCACUGCGUGUC